rnacentral:tRNA from 1 species
AAAAUUUUAAGUUAAAUAAACUUUAAACCUUCAAAGUUUAAUAUAUAUAUAUUAUUUAUAUAAAUUUUA